rnacentral:rRNA from 1 species
AGUGAACGCUGGCGGUAGGCCUAACACAUGCAAGUCGAACGGCAGCACAGUAAGAGCUUGCUCUUACGGGUGGCGAGUGGCGGACGGGUGAGGAAUACAUCGGAAUCUACUUUUUCGUGGGGGAUAACGUAGGGAAACUUACGCUAAUACCGCAUACGACCUACGGGUGAAAGCAUGGGAUCUUCGGACCUUGCGCGAUUGAAUGAGCCGAUGUCGGAUUAGCUAGUUGGCGGGGUAAAGGCCCACCAAGGCGACGAUCCGUAGCUGGUCUGAGAGGAUGAUCAGCCACACUGGAAAUGAGACACGGUCCAGACUCCUACGGGAGGCAGCAGUGGGGAAUAUUGGACAAUGGGCGCAAGCCUGAUCCAGCCAUACCGCGUGGGUGAAGAAGGCCUUCGGAUUGUAAAGCACUUUUGUUGGGAAAGAAAAGCAGUAAGUUAAUACCCCGCUGUUCUGACGGUACCAAAAGAAUAAGCACCGGCUAACUUCGUG